rnacentral:rRNA from 1 species
AUUGAACGCUGGCGGCAGGCCUAACACAUGCAAGUCGGACGAGCGGCGGACGGGUGGAUAAUGUAUUGGCAUCUGCCUGAUGGAGGGGGAUAACUACUGGAAACGUUAGCUAAUACCGCUUACCAUCAUAUGGACCCAUGUUGGAUUAGCUUGUAGGUGUGGUAACGGCUCAUCUAGGCGACGAUCCCUAGCUGGUCUGAGAGGGUGAUCAGCCACACUGGGACUGAGACACGGCCCAGACUCCUACGGGAGGCAGCAGUGGGGAAUAUUGGGCAAUGGGCGCAAGCCUGAUGGAGCAACGCCGCGUGAAUGAAGAAGGCUUGCGGGUUGUAAAGUACUGUCAGUAGGGAGGCGUUACCGACAGAAGAAGCAACGGCUAACUCCGUGCCAGCAGCCGCGGUAAUUC